rnacentral:rRNA from 1 species
GACAGAGGAGGCAAGCGUUGUUCGGAAUCAUUGGGCUUAAAGGGCGUGCAGGCGGCGGCGCAAGUGUCGAGUGAAAUCCCAUCGCUCAACGAUGGAACGGCUCGGCAAACUGCGUCGCUUGAGGUCGGUAGAGGUGCUCGGAACUCUAGGUGGAGCGGUGAAAUGCGUAGAUAUCUAGAGGAACGCCUGAGGCGAAAGCGGGGCACUGGGCCGAUUCUGACGCUGAGACGCGAAAGCGUGGGGAGCAAACAGG